CCGGCCAGGCCUCAGCCAUUGCCUUCCUGACAUCCAGGCUGCUGCGCUGUGGUCACAAAAUGAAAUAGAAGGGCCACCCUGCUUGGACAGAGAGAAACUGAGAGCGGUAGGAGAAAUUGGAAGAGAGAAAGACACUUGCAAACCUGCUUCAUUGCUUGCAAUGUUAAGGAAAUCUGCUGAAAAUCAAGAUGACUACAGCCAAGGGUGCAAAUUCUGCUCUUCCCUUCUUCCUGACUGUGCUAUGUCAUAUCCUUAAUCAUAACAGAGGCAGAGCUAAGUAUCAGUGUUGCUUCUAGAAUCCUCCUUCCUGCAGUUCCUGACCUUAAGUGAAGUCUCCACCACUUAAGACGCUUGUGAAGUUCCAACUCAGUAUCAUCCAUUGGGCGCUUUGCAAAUAAAAGCAAUGGCUG